GCCGGCGUGGCGCAAUCGGUUAGCGCGUCAGACUUUUAAUCUGAAUGUUGCGAGUUCGAGUCUCGCCGUUGGCG
rfam:Myceliophthora thermophila ATCC 42464 chromosome 1, complete sequence.